GUUCUUAUAGUUGAAGUACAACAGUAGUUUUUCAGACUAAGGGUCUGGGUUAGAGGCCCGGUGAGAAUA
rnacentral:tRNA from 1 species